AUUGAACGCUGGCGGCAGGCCUAACACAUGCAAGUCGAACGGUAACAGGAAGAAGCUUGCUUCUUUGCUGACGAGUGGCGGACGGGUGAGUAAUGUCUGGGAAACUGUCUGAUGGAGGGGGAUAACUACUGGAAACGGUAGCUAAUACCGCAUAACGUCGCAAGACCAGAGAGGGGGACCUUCGGGCCUCUUGCCAUCGGAUGUGCCCAGAUGGGAUUAGCUAGUAGGUGGGGUAACGGCUCACCUAGGCGACGAUCCCUAGCUGGUCUGAGAGGAUGACCAGCCACACUGGAACUGAGACACGGUCCAGACUCCUACGGGAGGCAGCAGUGGGGAAUAUUGCACAAUGGGCGCAAGCCUGAUGCAGCCAUGCCGCGUGUAUGAAGAAGGCCUUCGGGUUGUAAAGUACUUUCAGCGGGGAGGAAGGGAGUAAAGUUAAUACCUUUGCUCAUUGACGUUACCCGCAGAAGAAGCACCGGCUAACUCCGUG
rnacentral:rRNA from 1 species